AUUUUUUAUGGUACAGUCGCUUCAUUUUCUUCCUGCAGCUGCUCCUUAAAGUCAAGCUCCAGGCAAGUGACUGAAAUCCUCUCUGCAGCCUGUGUGCUAAAACCAAAGUGCAAACAGCACACAGAGUUUGUGUUGGCUGCAGCUAGCUGUCAGUGAGUGUACGGGACCUGGGCAUCUGUGUGUCAGGCCCACACUGCGCUCGGUGUGCAGAAAUGAGCUGGCUGGUGAUACUUCUUUUCCUUACCUUAGAAUAUCCUUCAGAGAAGGUAACACUGAAAGACACAAAGUGCCUGAAGCAGUUUGCAGCACAGUGAGUCUGAUUUUUUUGGCUUCAAACACAAAGGAAAAAUCUGCAUGAAUUGCCCUCUGUGGAGGGGAUGCUAACUCUGAUGGCUCCUGCCCAGCACCCAGGCAAGGAGGAUGCAGUCCAGCAGCCUUCCAUAGUGCUGCACUGGGCCUUUCCUCCUGCCCUGUGACCCCAGGCUCCCUGCACAGCUGGCUGGGGGACACUGAUCUGCCAUCCAUGCUGUGGGGCAGGACCACCCACAGCAGGAGCCUGGGAAAGUAGCCAGGACAAUUACUCAUGGCCUGUAUAAUAGCUAAGCAUGUGGAGGGCCUUGCAACUCCCUUACAGCAUGUGUCACACUCGCCUGCCCAGCACUCUCCUGCGCCACACCAGCAUCUUUUUGCCUCGCUCUUCUAGUCUGAGUUGGUAAUUUUGUCUUUCUUCCUGCAGGUUCCUAAGAGAAACUGAUUAUUGUAGGACAAAAUUUGCCUCUUGCCGAUGAAUGCCACAUAUUUUGCACCCUACAAGUGCAAAUUGUCCUCUACUGACUGUGAAGAAAACUGAUUUUGUUUUAGAUACCUACAGCUGGCCAGGUUUUAACAUGCUUCUGGUUGUCCAAAAAGCCAGUUGCAUCUGUGCCUAUGCAGUCCUUUCCCCCCCACCAAUUUGCCAGUGUUCUACCUUGUAACCAGCCCUGCCUCUACAGAUGAUCUUAGAAUAAGGCUGACUCUCCUGGUAGAAAAGUCCUUGCCUUUUAGAAGAAAUGUUAUAGCCAGAUACUGGACAAGUUCUCCCAUUUCUGGAUAAGAGUCCUUGCCCAGGUAUGCCCAGGACUUCUCCACAAGUCAGUGUCAACCUUCCUGUAUUUUUUUAAGAUACAUUUGUAUUAUCACUUGAAACAGUGUUGGCAUUUGGAACUGAGAAGGUAAGAAAGCAUGCUGAAAGGAAAACACACACUGAACAAAGAUUUCCACUGAAAAUGACAAGCUUUACCAUUAGAGGAACUAAAGACUUCUGCAAAUUUUAAUUUUUAAUAGACAUAAUUUUAUGGCAAGCAUACUGUGGAACAAUGAGAAGUUUUAAGGAAAAAAAUUUAGUUACUGCCUGAAUUGUGUAUAUAGCUUGCUGAACUGGAGCCAUGGGUAGAGAAACAAUGUACAAUGCUUGGAAGUGACUUCUUCCACAAUUAUAAUGAAAUAAAAUAAAUCAACCUCCUGAGAAAACGAAGUUU
ensembl:lncRNA